rnacentral:lncRNA from 1 species
AUGACAGACCCACGACCUAUGCUGGGACUGCAAUCACUUAGACAUUUUAAUGAAAGAAAAAGAGAGAGAGAGAGAGAGAGAGAGAGAGAGAGAGAGAGAGAGAGAGAGAGAGAGAGAGAGAGAGAGAGAGAGAGGGAAGGAGUGAGGAAGAAAGGAAGGAAGGAAGGAAGGAAGGAAGGAAGGAAGGAAGGAAGGAAGGAAGGAAGGAAGGAAGGAAGGAAGGAAGGAAGGAAGGAAGGAAGGAAGGAAGGAAGGAAGGAAGGAAGGAAGGAAGGAAGAAAAAGAAAGAAAGAAAGAAAGAAAGAAAGAAAGAAAGAAAGAAAGAAAGAAAGAAAGAAAGAAAGAAAGAAAGAAAGAAAGAAAGAAAGAAAGAAAGAAAGAAAGAAAGAGAAAGAAAGGAAGGAAGAAAGAAAGAAAGGAAGAAAGAAAGGAAGAAAGGAAGAAAGGAAGGAAGGAAGAAAGGAAGGAAGGAAGAAAGGAAGGAAGGAAGGAAGGAAGGAAGGAAAGAAGGAAGGAAGGAAGGAAGGAAGGGAAGGAAGGAAGGAAGGAAGGAAGGAAGGAAGGAAAGGAAGGGAGGGAAGGAAAGGAAGGAGGGAAGGAAGGAAGGAGGGAAGAAAAAAAGAAAGGAAGGAAGAAAGAAAGAAAGAAAGAAAGAAAGAAAGAAAGAAAGGAAAGGAAGGAAAGAAAGGAAGAAAGAAAGAAAGAAAGGAAGAAAGAUUGGAAGAAAGAAAGGAAGGAAGGAAGGAAGGAAGGAAGGAAGGAAGGAAGGAAGGAAGGAAGGAAGGAAGGAAGGAAGGAAGGAAGGAAGGAAGGAAGGAAGGAAGGAAGGAAGGAAGGAAGGAAGGAAGGAAGGAAGGAAGGAAGGAAGGAAGGAAAAACCAUAAGUUCUCUACCAAUGCCAGAGAUUUGUGUAAUUUUCACCACUGCAUUUGGGGCAGAGGCCUUGGUGGUGAUGUUUCCUCAAAACCUGGCCACCCCACAGAGGAGCCAAGGAGAAAGCUCUGA